rnacentral:rRNA from 1 species
CACGGGGGAGCAAGCGUUGUUCGGAAUCACUGGGCGUAAAGGGCGUGUAGGCGGUUUGGUAAGUGGGAUGUGAAAUGCCUCGGCUCACCCGAGGACCGGCAUCCCAAACUGCCAAGCUUGAGUAUGGGAGAGGAUGUGGGAAUUCCUGGUGUAGCGGUGAAAUGCGUAGAUAUCAGGAGGAACACCGGUGGCGAAGGCGCACAUCUGGCCCAAUACUGACGCUGAGGCGCGAAAGCUAGGGGAGCAAACGGG